rnacentral:rRNA from 1 species
GACGAACCGUGCGAACGUUGUUCGGAAUCACUGGGCUUAAAGGGCGCGUAGGCGGUCUUGUAAGUCAGCUGUGAAAGCCCGGGGCUCAACCCCGGAGGGUCGGCUGAUACUGCAGGACUGGAGUACGGAAGAGGUAGCUGGAAUUCCCGGUGUAGUAGUGAAAUGCGUUGAUAUCAUUCGGAACACCGAAAGCGAAGGCAGAGCACUGGGUGCCACCUGACACUGCUAGGACGAAAGCGUGGGAGCGAAUGGG